GCGUGCCGAUGAUGAUGCACAAGCACCGGUGAAUUCUGGAUGAUUGCGCUUGCGCACCAUCGCUGCGCACAGCUCUCGUGAUAUCCACUGCGUAAUACUCUGAGGCACAC
rfam:Hordeum vulgare subsp. vulgare, WGS project CAJW01000000 data, contig: morex_contig_38467